UCUUAUCAAGAGUGGUUUAGGGACAGGCCCAUUGAUACCACAGCAACCUGCUCAGUGCAAGGUGCUAAUUCCUGCGGUUUUACCGGAUGAUGAG
rnacentral:ncRNA from 1 species